CCUACGGGUGGCAGCAGUGGGGAAUAUUGCGCAAUGGACGGAAGAGUGACGCAGCGACGCCGCGUGAAUGACGAAGGCCUUCGGGUCGUAAAGUUCUUUUGUUAGGGAAGAAAAUGCCUAAAAGUAACUGUGUAUGUAUUGACGGUACCUGUAUAAGCAGCCACGGCUAACUCCGUGCCAGCAGCCGCGGUAAUACGGAGGGGGCUAGCGUUGUUCGGUGUGACGGGGCGUAAAGAGGACGUAGGCGGUGUUGUAAGUCAGCAGUCAAAGGCCAGGGCUCAACAUGAGAAGGGCAAGUGAUACGGGGAUACUAGAGUGUCGGAGAGGAUAGAGGAAUGCGUGGUGUAGCGGUGAAAGGCGUAGAUAUCAGGAGGAAUACCGGUGGCGAAGGCGGCUCUCUGGUUGGCAACUGACGCUGAGGCGCGAAAGCGUGGGUAGCAAACAGGAUUAGAUACCCUGGUAGUC
rnacentral:rRNA from 1 species